rnacentral:rRNA from 1 species
GACAGAGGAGCCAAGCGUUGUCCGGAGUAACUGGGCGUAAAGCGCACGCAGGUGGUUCUGUGCGUGGGGUGUGAAAGCUCUCGGCUUAACUGAGAGAGGCCACCUCAUACGGCAGAACUGGAGCCCUGCAGAGGUCCACGGAAUUGCCGGUGUAGUGGUGAAAUUCGUAGAUAUUGGGAAGAACACCGGUGGCGAAGGCGGCUCUCUGGACCGAUACUGACGCUGAGGCGCGAAAGCGUGGGGAGCAAACAGG